rnacentral:lncRNA from 1 species
GGGAGGUUGAGCUGAUUGAAUUUAUUUUUUUUCUGCCUAAUCAUGUUCUUUUAGUACCUGAAGUGCUCCUAACACAGAAGAUUAUGUGUAAGUUAGAGUACAUGGAAGAGUGCUUGGAAAGGCCCACAGAAGCAUAAAAUAAGAUUGUUCAAUGAGCAAGAGGAGAAAGCAUAAAAAGCUUGGUAGAGACAUGAAUUCCUGACCAAAUGAGGCCAUGUGUCUGCACAGAUAUUUCAUUUUCUCUCAAGAGUUCUGGGAUUCCAGCUGAAUGCUGCUGCCUGAAGUCCAG